UGGGGAAUAUUGCACAAUGGGCGAAAGCCUGAUGCAGCAACGCCGCGUGAGGGACGACGGCCUUCGGGUUGUAAACCUCUUUUAGCAAGGAAGAAGCGAAAGUGACGGUACUUGCAGAAAAAGCGCCGGCUAACUACGUGCCAGCAGCCGCGGUAAUACGUAGGGCGCAAGCGUUAUCCGGAAUUAUUGGGCGUAAAGAGCUCGUAGGCGGUUUGUCGCGUCUGCUGUGAAAACCCGAGGCUCAACCUCGGGCCUGCAGUGGGUACGGGCAGACUAGAGUGCGGUAGGGGAGAUUGGAACUCCUGGUGUAGCGGUGGAAUGCGCAGAUAUCAGGAAGAACACCGAUGGCGAAGGCAGAUCUCUGGGCCGUAACUGACGCUGAGGAGCGAAAGGGUGGGGAGCAAAACAGGCUUAGAUACCCUGGUAGUCCACCCGUAAACGUUGGGAACUAGUUGUGGGUCCAUUCCACGGAUUCCGUGACGCAGCUAACGCAUUAAGUUCCCCGCCUGGGGAGUACGGCCGCAAGGCU
rnacentral:rRNA from 1 species